rnacentral:rRNA from 1 species
UGCCCUAGUAACGGCGAGUGAAGCGGCAACAGCUCAAAUUUGAAAUCUGGCUCUCGGGCCCGAGUUGUAAUUUGUAGAGGAUGCUUUUGAUGCGGUGCCUUCCGAGUUCCCUGGAACGGGACGCCAUAGAGGGUGAGAGCCCCGUCUGGUUGGAUGCCAAAUCUCUGUAAAGCUCCUUCGACGAGUCGAGUAGUUUGGGAAUGCUGCUCUAAAUGGGAGGUAUAUGUCUUCUAAAGCUAAAUACCGGCCAGAGACCGAUAGCGCACAAGUAGAGUGAUCGAAAGAUGAAAAGCACUUUGAAAAGAGAGUUAAAAAGUACGUGAAAUUGUUGAAAGGGAAGCGUUUAUGACCAGACUUGGGCUUGGAUAAUCAUCUGGGGUUCUCUCCAGUGCACUUUUCCAGUCCAGGCCAGCAUCAGUUUUCGCCGGGGGAUAAAGGCUUCGGGAAUGUGGCUCUCUCCGGGGAGUGUUAUAGCCCGUUGCGUAAUACCCUGGCGGGGACUGAGGUUCGCGCAUCUGCAAGGAUGCUGGCGUAAUGGUCAUCAACGACCCGUCUUGAAACACGGACCAAGGAGUCGUCUUCGUAUGCGAGUGUUCGGGUGUCAAACCCCUACGCGUAAUGAAAGUGAACGCAGGUGAGAGCUUCGGCGCAUCAUCGACCGAUCCUGAUGUUCUCGGAUGGAUUUGAGUAAGAGCAUACGGGGCCGGACCCGAAAGAAGGUGAACUAUGCCUGUGUAGGGUGAAGCCAGAGGAAACUCUGGUGGAGGCUCGCAGCGGUUCUGACGUGCAAAUCGAAUUCGUUCAAACAUGG